ACUUCGGAAGGGGAGGGAUGCAAACAGGGAAAUGAGGAGAGAUGGGUUUAAAAAAAUCGAGGAAAUUAAAAGACAAGUGGAAAGGAAGCGGUACCACCAGCGGCCAGGCAUCGUGGUUCCUUUGAUGCAUUCGGGUGUACGGGGGUAACGGGCAGCCUAUUGGAGCAUGGCAGACCACCUGAGAGUUGUUUUCUGGACUCUGGGAGGUCACCUGAUACCAGCGCUCUGGAGAAGGUGCACCGCACUGGAUUUCACAUGAAAAGAGAUUACAGGUGACAUGAGAGUGAGUAAAUUAUGAAAUAAUUUUCAUGUCUGGGUGAACUGUCUCUUUAAUAUAUUUUAAUAGCUGUAAAGGCCUCUCAGAUGAAACGUGAGAUUGGAAAAUACUGUCUCUCUCGCUGAAAUAAAGCAAGACUGCUCUGUAGGUGAAAUUCAAUAUGUGCAAACCAUUUUAGCCAUCUUAGGAGUGAGGAGACGAAUCAUUUCUGUUCUGAAUGGAUGAUUCGGAGCCAGAGGUGAAUCAUACAGGGGUUUGUUUGUAUCUGUGCCUUUGAUCCCCCUCUGAUAGUCCCUACACCGCGCAACAUCUGUCACGCGGCGUGCCACAAUCGCUCACGUAGAGCUUUAGGUGAUGCUGGUGUAUGGUUAUUCCUGCCACAUGGUCCACAUGGGCAUCCCCAACGCCAGCGCUCAUUAGCAGGCAGGUGGCGUUAGAGAUUCGACUGGGGCCGAGACGAGGAAUAGAACCUGGCAAACCGGGUUGUACGUCCGCAUCGGGUAAUCCCCGCCAGAUUGCCAGGAUAUCAGAAGUGACAUCACAAAGCCAACAAAAAUUAGCAUCCCUAAUGGUCUGCCAGGCCAAACAUUAUUCUUCAUGAUGAGAAGCAGUCAUGCCUGCCCAGGGCUCCUGAUGAUUUGGCCAAAAGCAGUGGAGGCCCCUAAGCUCUCAGCUCCAGCCAAAACCAACAGGCUCUGUUCUCCAACCCAUGAAGACCGGUUCUACUCUACCGCAAAGGAAGUUCCUGAGGAAAAUCUUUGGUGUAUCCCCAUCAUCCUGCUGAUGCCUUCAGAUUCUAGAAGAUCUUUGGAAAUUACUCACCUGGUGCUUGAUAACCAGUGAAAAACACCUCGACUAGAUUUAGAAGCUAAAACCAAGAAAGAUCAAUGAGAGGAGAGGGGGAGAGUGGCAGAUUUAAUUAAUUACUGCAUAUUAGAAUGUUUGUUUACAAAAGUGAACAGUUACAAGGGGCCUGAUGGUAAUUAAUUUAAAACGUACUUCCCCCUGUCCCUGCCUCGCGUCGGCACUAGACGUGGUUGUUUCAUGGCAGGUAAGCCUACGUCUCAUUGGAUUUCCAUCAAUUGCUCAAAGGUGUGUUUGAAAACAAAGAUGCAUGGUACGCAAAUUAGCCUGAAUGUUAACAUGAUUGCAUAUUAAGAAACCUAAUUAGUAUUCAAGGGAAUCAAAAGGGAAGAGCUGCAUGAUGUUGUGAUAAUGCAUAUCUAAGAGGAAAGUUUCACCAUUUUUCACCUUGCUUUUGUUCUCUGUAGUGUUUAAAUGUAACUUAACAUUUUAAACAGAUCUGUCAAUUCUCUCUGUGAAGAUGACUUUAUUUCCCCAACAAUGUCACAGUGGUUGCAUGUCUGUGUGUUUUCAGCUGUGGUCAGGAAGGUCUCUCGAGGUCCCCCUCCAGGACAAUGAUGUAUUUAAGUCCCCUAAGAGGUCAGAUGGACUCUGUCCAGAACAUCACCUGCAAUCAAUAGUGUUGGUAAACCAGGCUCAACUGAGUGGCCAUGAAGACUCCCCUUAUAAACACGCUCACAGAGAGGCCGGCAUGGCCCAUUGCUUUGCUAAAACCGCAACCAACAUCCUGACACACACACACAAACACACACACACAACACAUGCCACCACUCUGAAAACAAGUGUUGAUGACAAAGAAAAGAAAAAUAACAGCACCUCAGCGGUAAGUGGAGAGCCUCCAGGUGAUGAAAUCCUCUCUAAAGUGACACAAAAUUGAAGCAAAUUGACAGCCAUGUGAAUGUGUUUAUAAAUGCUAGUGGGUGGCACUGUUGUGGAGCGGCCUGCUGGAUUGAGGGCUUUUAUUUUAUUUUAUUUUAUUUUAUUUUAUUUUAUUUUAUUUUAUUUAUUUUAAAUUUAGUUUAAGAAAAUGCCUGAAUAUUGAAAUUCACAUACUUAUGCUAUUUAUAACAGGGGUGAUUAUCAUCAACUAAAAUUAAAAAUAAAAAUCAUUUAAAAAUAUUUUCAUUUCAUAAAUACACUUAUGAAAUAAAAAUAGUGAAAUAAUGAUAUUCAUGAAAUAAUUUUUAUUUUAGUUAUUUAUUUCAUUUAUAUAUUUUAUUUAGUUAUGUUUAUUUUAUUGCAGCUAGCUGCCAAGGCAUUAUUUCUCAAGGCAUUAUUUCUUUCUAUUAUGACAAAAAUACAAAAACUUAUCUAAAAUGAAAAGGAAAAUAAAAAUGGAAAACAUAAAAAAUAAAAACUAUAAUAAUAAAUCAAUAAUAGUAAAAUAACAUUGAUUCAUAAUGACUUUUAGCUUCAUUAUUAUUCUUGUAAUUUUAUUAGAAAUUAGCAUUAAUGUAUAUUAGCAUUAUUUCUGUAAGUCAUUAUUCUUGUUAUUUCACUAUAAAUGUGCAUAAAUGUACAUUGCAUUCUUUCUCAGUCAUUAUUCUUGCUAUUUUGCUAAAAAUGUAGAAAGAUUUAUAUUGGUAUCAUUUCUGUCAGUCUGAUAAAUGAGAAAAAUAUCAAUAAACAAUUAGGCGCAUUGUUAAAAAAAGUUGAAAGAGAACAGUGUUUUAAUAGUUGAAAGAGAACAGUGUUUUAAUAGUAAUUUUACACUUUUCCAUAUUGGUUUAUUUCUGUGAAUACAAGUUUUGCCUAAUUAUAAUAAUUCAUGUUUCAGCUUUUUGUAUUUUUAUUUCCUAGCCAUACCCUUUGCAUUCAGCUUCCCUCUGUCAUAGCAAAGGUUGCGCAUUCUCCUUAACGCACAGGUGAAUUGGGUGCACUGCUUCAAUCAAGGCUUCACUAUUGGGUUUGAGAGUCAUCUGAGACCAGACAACAAAAGCAAACGCUACAGUGAGUGUCUCUACUGUAAGUGGCUUUUGAAGAAUUGGCACAGUCAUCUGGCGAACACCUCACAUCUCUCACAAACAAAUGAAGGCCUGGCGCUUCAAAGUGAGAUUGAUAUCUCUCUCUGAACUUCAACCAGAAUAUUCUGAAUAUUGAGAGAGGUGCACUCCUCCCACGGGACCGCCGAGGCGCCUCUCUCCUCCCUCGUUCCGCCAAAGAGGGGGAAAAAGAUUGCCCCUGUAGAUCUUCCAUGUUCAUCAAUAUUCACUCAUUCAUCGUGAGACAUGGCAGCUGAAAUUUGGCCUAGUAUUGCUGAAUGGAUGACCCGGGGAUCCACUUUGUUGCUGUGAGGUUGUCUGCAAUUGAGAUUUAGGGUUAAAACAGAACAAUACACCAUUUUUAUGAACUUCAGGCUCGUCUAUAUAUUUUACGUUGUGACAGAAAACUUUUCAAUUUGCUCUGGAAGUUCUUAAGAGUACCCAUCCAUUUAAUAAGCCUAGAAUAGAUGUAUCUACUUUGUUCUGCUUUCUGACUGUUUCAAAUCUUUUUUCCCGCUUUUUGUUUUUACUUGGAAAUAUUUUUCAAAUAAAAUGAAGGAAACUACUGCUAAAGAUGGUUGCCAUAAAUCUAUAUGUAUUGCUGAACUCUUACAGUAUUUGAGUUUUAUAGUAUAUAAAACUGUAUAGUACUGAAUUAUUGUUAUU